rnacentral:rRNA from 1 species
UACGGAGGAUCCAAGCGUUAUCCGGAUUUAUUGGGUUUAAAGGGUGCGUAGGCGGCUUAUUAAGUCAGGGGUGAAAGACGGUAGCUCAACUAUCGCAGUGCCCUUGAUACUGAUGGGCUUGAAUGAACUAGAGGUAGGCGGAAUGUGACAAGUAGCGGUGAAAUGCAUAGAUAUGUCACAGAACACCAAUUGCGAAGGCAGCUUACUAUGGUUUUAUUGACACUGAGGCACGAAAGCGUGGGGAUCAAACAGG